rnacentral:rRNA from 1 species
GGUGAGUAACGCGUAAGUAAUCAACCCAUGACAGAAGGAUAACUAAGAGAAAUUUUAGCUAAAACUUCAUAAAUUAAUACUACGGGAGUAGAAUUAAAGAAAACUGAGGUGGUCAUGGACGAGCUUGCGACUGAUUAGCCAGUUGGUGAGGUAACGGCCCACCAAAGCAACGAUCAGUAGCCGACCUGAGAGGGUGAUCGGUCACAUUGGUACUGAGAACGGACCAAACUCC